rnacentral:misc_RNA from 1 species
UGUGGUGUUAAGUGAGCAAGGGUUUCCACAUCAUGAACGGGUGUGGUUAAAAAAGUUAAUCCAUAGGACAAAUUGUAGAACAAAUAAUAGAACAUAACACAAAAUAAACAUAUAAAAUAAUAGAAGAUAUCAUAGAAAGAGAUCAAUUAGGAAGAAACAAGAUAGGAGAAGAAACAAGAUAAAGGAAGAAUCGGGAUUGGUACUUGGAAUUUUGGAUCACUAACAAGAAAAUUAAUGAAACUUGUGGAUACCUUGAAAAUGAGAAGGGUGAAUAAUGCUUGUAUUUAGGAGACUAAAUGGGUAAGAGAGAAAAGUAAGGAAGUGGUUAAUCAAGGAUACAAACUGUAGUUUAUCG